AUGCAGCGACGCCGCGUUGGGGGAUGACGGCCUUCGGGUUGUAAACCUCUUUCAGCUAUCGGCGAAGCUUGCGGGUUUUCUCGCAGGUGACGGUAGGUACAGAAGAAGCACCGGCCAACUACGUGCCAGCAGCCGCGGUAAUACGUAGGGUGCGAGCGUUGUCCGGAAUUACUGGGCGUAAAGAGCUCGUAGGUGGUUUGUCGCGUUGUCCGUGAAAACUCACAGCUCAACUGUGGGCGUGCGGGCGAUACGGGCAGACUGGAGUACUGUAGGGGAGACUGGAAUUCCUGGUGUAGCGGUGGAAUGCGCAGAUAUCAGGAGGAACACCGGUGGCGAAGGCGGGUCUCUGGGCAGUAACUGACGCUGAGGAGCGAAAGCGUGGGGAGCGAACAGGAUUAGAUACCCUGGUAGUCCACGCCGUAAACGGUGGGUACUAGGUGUGGGUUUCCUUCCUUUAGGGAUCCGUGCCGUAGCUAACGCAUUAAGUACCCCGCCUGGGGAGUACGGCCGCAAGGCUA
rnacentral:rRNA from 1 species